rnacentral:rRNA from 1 species
UACGGGAGGUGCAAGCGUUGUUCGGAAUGACUGGGCGUAAAGCGCACGUAGGCGGGUCUUUAAGUCGCAUGUGAAAGCCCCAGGCUUAACCUGGGAAUCGCAUACGAAACUGAAGAUCUUGAAUGCCCGAGAGGUUGAUGGAAUUCUUGGUGUAGGAGUGAAAUCCGUAGAGAUCAUGAGGAAGACCAGUGGCGAAGGCGGGUCUCUGGACAGUUCCUGACACUGAGGCACGAAGGCCAGGGGAGCAAACAGG